rnacentral:lncRNA from 1 species
UUUAAGAACUGUAACACUCACUGUGAGGGUCUGCGGCUUCAUUCUUGAAGGCUGUGAGACCAAGAACCCACCAAUUUCGGACACACUGGGACCACCCUCGCUGACUGGAGCACUUGAGGCAAUCAUUCCCAGAUAGUGGAACCUCGAAUGGCAGACACUGUGGUUCUCCUGCGGGGCUGAGAACUGUGAGGAGCAGAGCAGACUUCAUGGAGCUCCACAAGUCACAUACACAGGCGGCUGCUGGCUAUUUCCGCUUUCUCAUCUGGAAUUGGCAGCGGACUAAGUGGGCCCUACUUAUUAGAUAAGGAAACUGAGGCACACAAGGUCAGCUAACCUGCCCGAGGUCUCUAGCUAGUGACUGGAAGAGGUGUUCUCUGGAUAUUAUUUGAAUCUCAGUCUCGCUAUAUUUCUUCGUCAUGACUGUAACUUUCCCCCUGUAUUUCUAAAUAUUUUAAUCUCUUGAUCAUAUAGCAUACGUUGAUUUAAUAAAUCACUUUUACAUGCA